rnacentral:lncRNA from 13 species
GGUAGAAUUUACUCUUGAAUGAAGGAUGGAACUGGCUUGUAUUUAUAAAACAGAACUGGACUAGUUGGUAGCAUUUACUCUUGAAUGAAGGCUGGAACUGGAGCUGACUCCCUUGCUGGACUGCAAUCUCCAUGAGAGCCAUGUCUGUCUUGCCUGCCGCUGUCGUAGAUAAAGAUCUACCACAAGGUUAGCACAGAGUGGGCAUGCAAUAAACAUUUUUGAAUGAAUAAAUAUAUAAUUUAA